CGUAGGGUGCGAGCGUUAAUCGGAAUUACUGGGCGUAAAGCGUGCGCAGGGCGGUUUUGUAAGACAGGCGUGAAAUCCCCGGGCUCAACCUGGGAACUGCGCUUGUGACUGCAAGGCUAGAGUACGGCAGAGGGGGGUGGAAUUCCACGUGUAGCAGUGAAAUGCGUAGAGAUGUGGAGGAACACCAAUGGCGAAGGCAGCCCCCUGGGUCGAUACUGACGCUCAUGCACGAAAGCGUGGGUAGCAAACAGGAUUAGAUACCCUGGUAGUCCACGCCCUAAACGAUGUCAACUAGGUGUUGGGUGGGUAAAACCAUUUAGUACCGGAGCUAACGCGUGAAGUUGACCGCCUGGGGAGUACGGCCGCAAGGUUA
rnacentral:rRNA from 1 species